ACCAAUUUAUUCUCUUUCUCAAUGUUUCUUAUUCAAUUCAAUCAAUUACUUUUUAUUCAACCAAUUACUACUUGGAUUAUAGAAUUGAAUUGAAUAAGAAUCAUUGGGAAGGGAAGAAAGCUUU
rnacentral:pre_miRNA from 1 species